AAAGUACUCCCUCCGUCCCAAAAUUCUUGUCUUAGAUUUGUCUAGAUACAGAUGUAUCAAGUCACAUUUUAGUAUUAGAUACAUCUGUAUCUAGACAAAUAUAAGACAAGAAAUUUGGGACAGAGGGAGUAGUUG
rnacentral:pre_miRNA from 1 species